UUAGAGUUGAAUCCUGGCUCCCGAUGAACUCUAGCGGCAGGCCUAACACAUGCAAGCCGAGGGGUAAGUCUCUUUCGGGAGAACACGACCGGCGCACGGGUGAGUAACGCGUAUGCAACCUACCUUUGGCACGGGGACAGCCCGGGGAAACCCGGAUUAAUACCCGGUAUAGUCUAUUAUACACCUGUAUAAAAGACGAGAGCUACGGCGGCCAAAGAUGGGCAUGCGUGCCAUUAGUUAGUUGGUAGGGUAACGGCCUACCAAGGCAUCGAUGGCUACGGGGUCUAAAAGGAUGAGCCCGCACACUGGUACUGAGACACGGACCAGACUCCUACGGGAGGCAGCAGUGAGGAAUAUUGGUCAAUGGGUGGAAGCCUGAACCAGCCAUGCCGCGUGCAGGAAGACGGCCUUAUGGGUUGUAAACUGCUUUUCUACGGGACGUACGGCUCUGACGUGUCAGAGAUUGACGGUACCGUAGGAAUAAGCAUCGGCUAACUCCGUGCCAGCAGCCGCGGUAAUACGGAGGAUGCGAGCGUUAUCCGGAUUUAUUAGGUUUAAAGGGUGCGUAGGCUGGGCAAUAAGUCAGUGGUGAAAGUCCGCGGCUCAACCGUGGGAUUGCCAUUGAAACUGUUGUUCUUGAGUACAGUCGAGGUAGGCGGAAUGUGUAAUGUAGCGGUGAAAUGCAUAGAUAUUACCCAGAACACCGAUUGCGUAGGCAGCUUACCAGCCUGGAACUGACGCUGAUGCACGAAAGCGUGGGGAGCGAACAGGAUUAGAUACCCUGGUAGUCCACGCCGUAAACGAUGAUCACUCGCUGUUGGCAAUAUAGAGUCAGCGGUUGAGCGAAAGCAUUUAGUGAUCCACCUGGGGAGUA
rnacentral:rRNA from 1 species